ACACAUGCAAGUCGAGGGGAAACGACAUCGAAAGCUUGCUUUUGAUGGGCGUCGACCGGCGCACGGGUGAGUAACGCGUAUCCAACCUGCCCAUCACUUGGGGAUAACCUUGCGAAAGUAAGACUAAUACCCAAUGAUAUCUCUAGAAGGCAUCUGAAAGAGAUUAAAGAUUUAUCGGUGAUGGAUGGGGAUGCGUCUGAUUAGCUUGUUGGCGGGGUAACGGCCCACCAAGGCGACGAUCAGUAGGGGUUCUGAGAGGAAGGUCCCCCACAUUGGAACUGAGACACGGUCCAAACUCCUACGGGAGGCAGCAGUGAGGAAUAUUGGUCAAUGGACGAGAGUCUGAACCAGCCAAGUAGCGUGCAGGAAGACGGCCCUAUGGGUUGUAAACUGCUUUUAUAAGGGAAUAAAGUGAGAGUCGUGACUCUUUUUGCAUGUACCUUAUGAAUAAGGACCGGCUAAUUCCGUGCCAGCAGCCGCGGUAAUACGGAAGGUCCGGGCGUUAUCCGGAUUUAUUGGGUUUAAAGGGAGCGUAGGCCGGAGAUUAAGCGUGUUGUGAAAUGUAGAUGCUCAACAUCUGAACUGCAGCGCGAACUGGUUUCCUUGAGUACGCACAAAGUGGGCGGAAUUCGUGGUGUAGCGGUGAAAUGCUUAGAUAUCACGAAGAACUCCGAUUGCGAAGGCAGCUCACUGGAGCGCAACUGACGCUGAAGCUCGAAAGUGCGGGUAUCGAACAGGAUUAGAUACCCUGGUAGUCCGCACGGUAAACGAUGGAUGCCCGCUGUUGGUCUGAAUAGGUCAGCGGCCAAGCGAAAGCAUUAAGCAUCCCACCUGGGGAGUACGCCGGCA
rnacentral:rRNA from 1 species